rnacentral:rRNA from 1 species
UACGUAGGGUGCGAGCGUUGCCCGGAUUUAUUGGGCGUAAAGGGCGCGUAGGCGGCCACGCACGUCCGUUGUGAAAGCCCCCGGCUCAACUGGGGAGGGUCACGCGAUACUGUUCGACUCGAAGGCAGGAGAGGGAAGCGGAAUUCCCGGUGUAGUGGUGAAAUGCGUAGAUAUCGGGAGGAACACCAGUGGCGAAGGCGGCUUCCUGGCCUGUUCUUGACGCUGAGGCGCGAAAGCUAGGGUAGCAAACGGG